AGUGUGUCUAGGUGUGGGAGUGUGUCUAGGUGUGGGAGUGUGUCUAGGUGUGGGAGUGUGUCUAGGUGUGGGAGUGUGUCUAGGUAUGGGAGUGUGUCUAGGUGUGGGAGUGUGUCUAGGUGUGGGAGUGUGUCUAGGUAUGGGAGUGUGUCUAGGUAUGGGAGUGUGUCUAGGUAUGGGAGUGUGUCUAGGUAUGGGAGUGUGUGGGAGUGUGUAUGGGUGUGUCUAGGUGUGGGAGUGUGUCUAGGUGUGGGAGUGUGUCUAGGUAUGGGAGUGUGUCUAGGUAUGGGAGUGUGUCUAGGUAUGGGAGUGUGUCUAGGUAUG